GAUGAACGCUGGCGGCGUGCCUAAUACAUGCAAGUCGAGCGAACAGACGAGGAGCUUGCUCCUCUGACGUUAGCGGCGGACGGGUGAGUAACACGUGGAUAACCUACCUAUAAGACUGGGAUAACUUCGGGAAACCGGAGCUAAUACCGGAUAACAUGAUGAACCGCAUGGUUCAACAGUGAAAGACGGUCUUGCUGUCACUUAUAGAUGGAUCCGCGCCGCAUUAGCUAGUUGGUAAGGUAACGGCUUACCAAGGCACCGAUGCGUAGCCGACCUGAGAGGGUGGUCGGCCACACUGGAACUGAGACACGGUCCAGACUCCUACGGGAGGCAGCAGUAGGGAAUCUUCCGCAAUGGGCGAAAUCCUGACGGAGCAACGCCGCGUGAGUGAAGAAGGUCUUCGGAUCGUAAAACUCUGUUAUUAGGGAAGAACAAAUGUGUAAGUAACUAUGCACGUCUUGACGGUACCUAAACAGAAAGCCACGGCUAACUACGUG
rnacentral:rRNA from 1 species